rnacentral:rRNA from 1 species
CAGCCGCCGCGGGAAUACGAAGGGUGCAAGCGUUACUCGGAAUUACUGGGCGUAAAGCGUGCGUAGGUGGUGGUUUAAGUCCGUUGUGAAAGCCCUGGGCUCAACCUAGGAAUUGCAGUGGAUACUGGGUCACUAGAGUGUGGUAGAGGAUAGUGGAAUUUCCGGUGUAGCAGUGAAAUGCGUAGAGAUCGGAAGGAACAUCUGUGGCGAAGGCGACUAUCUGGGCCAACACUGACACUGAGGCACGAAAGCGUGGGGAGCAAACAGGAUUAGAUACCCGUGUAGUCCCUGUCUCUUAUAC